rnacentral:rRNA from 1 species
AGUGAACGCUGGCGGUAGGCCUAGCACAUGCAAGUCGAACGGCAGCACAGUAAGAGCUUGCUCUUACGGGUGGCGAGUGGCGGACGGGUGAGGAAUACAUCGGAAUCUACUUUUUCGUGGGGGAUAACGUAGGGAAACUUACGCUAAUACCGCAUACGACCUACGGGUGAAAGCAGGGGAUCUUCGGACCUUGCGCGAUUGAAUGAGCCGAUGUCGGAUUAGCUAGUUGGCGGGGUAAAGGCCCACCAAGGCGACGAUCCGUAGCUGGUCUGAGAGGAUGAUAGGCCACAUUGGAACUGGGACACGGUCCAGACUCCUACGGGAGGCAGCAGUGGGGAAUAUUGGACAAUGGGCGCAAGCCUGAUCCAGCCAUACCGCGUGGGUGAAGAAGGCCUUGGGGUUGUAAAGCCCUUUUGUUGGGAAAGAAAAGCAGCAGGUUAAUACCACGCUGUUCUGACGGUACCCAAAGAAUAAGCACCGGCUAACUUCGUG